AUUGAACGCUAGCUACAGGCUUAACACAUGCAAGUCGAGGGGAAACGACAUCGAAAGCUUGCUUUUGAUGGGCGUCGACCGGCGCACGGGUGAGUAACGCGUAUCCAACCUGCCCAUCACUUGGGGAUAACCUUGCGAAAGUAAGACUAAUACCCAGUGAUAUCUCUAGAAGACAUCUGAAAGAGAUUAAAGAUUUAUCGGUGAUGGAUGGGGAUGCGUCUGAUUAGCUUGUUGGCGGGGUAACGGCCCACCAAGGCGACGAUCAGUAGGGGUUCUGAGAGGAAGGUCCCCAACAUUGGAACUGAGACACGGUCCAAACUCCUACGGGAGGCAGCAGUGAGGAAUAUUGGUCAAUGGGCGAGAGCCUGAACCAGCCAAGUAGCGUGCAGGAAGACGGCCCUAUGGGUUGUAAACUGCUUUUAUAAGGGAAUAAAGUGAGUCUCGUGAGACUUUUUGCAUGUACCUUAUGAAUAAGGACCGGCUAAUUCCGUGCCAGCCGCCGCAGUAA
rnacentral:rRNA from 1 species